rnacentral:misc_RNA from 1 species
GUGAAUCAUCAAAUUUUUGAACGCACAUUGCACUCCCUUCUGUUCGGAUGACUACUUCAGUUUCAGUAUCAAUAAAAAUCGGUGUGUUUCUUCUUUGUGCUGCUCCGGAGUUUGGGUCAUCUUACUAUCCUUUAGGUUUUAAGAGGCUUAAAAUUGACUGUUUUUGCGCAUUUUAUAUCUACAUAAAUUCUUUUUUUUAUUCGUCUGUCGUACUUCUCAGAGUCCUAUUAGAUUCGACUAUAUCGUGUGGUUUCGUGUCUAUGAAUUUUUCAUGAGUUGGCCUCCAAUCAGGUAGGAGUA